rnacentral:rRNA from 1 species
UUAAAGGGCCGUGGUAUACUGACCAUGCGAAGGUAGCAUAAUCAUUAGCCUUUUGAUUUGAGGCUGGAAUGAAUGGUCUGACGAGAGGCAACCUGUCUCCUUAAUUAACUUGAAUUUAAUCUUUAAGUGAAAAAGCUUAAAUAGCCUUGGAGGACGAUAAGACCCUAUAGAUCUUUACAUCUGGCUUUUUCAUCUAACGGUGGGUAAUCGGGUGGAAGAGGAGGAUGUUUGGUUGGGGCGACGUCGAGAGGAGAAUAAACACUCGAGAAUAUAUACAUACAUCAAUAAAUGAUCAUUGAUCCUUAGAUGAAAAUAGAGUAAGUUACCUUAGGGAUAACAGCGUAAUUCUUUUUGAGAGCUCAAAUCGACAAAAGAGUUUGCGACCUCGAUGUUGGUUCAGGGACCCUAUUUGGUGCAGCAGCUUAAUCAGGUAGUC